rnacentral:rRNA from 1 species
UCGUUAACGAACGAGACCUCGACCUGCUAAAUAGUUCGGUGAAGGCGUCAGCCUUCAUACGUGACUUCUUAGAGGGACUAUCGGUGUUUUAGCCGAAGGAAGUUCGAGGCAAUAACAGGUCUGUGAUGCCCUUAGAUGUUCUGGGCUGCACGCGCGCUACACUGAUGGUUGCAUCGAGCUUACAACCUUGACUGAGAAGUCUGGGUAAUCUUUUCAACGACCAUCGUGCUGGGGAUAGAACAUUGCAAUUAUUGUUCUUCAACGAGGAAUUCCUAGUAAACGCAAGUCAUCAACUUGCAUUGAUUACGUCCCUGCCCUUUGUACACACCGCCCGUCGCUAAUACCGAUUGAAUGGAUAA